rnacentral:rRNA from 1 species
UACGGAGGGUGCAAGCGUUAAUCGGAAUCACUGGGCGUAAAGCGCACGUAGGCGGCUUGGUAAGUCAGGGGUGAAAUCCCACAGCCCAACUGUGGAACUGCCUUUGAUACUGCCAGGCUUGAGUACCGGAGAGGGUGGCGGAAUUCCAGGUGUAGGAGUGAAAUCCGUAGAUAUCUGGAGGAACACCGGUGGCGAAGGCGGCCACCUGGACGGUAACUGACGCUGAGGUGCGAAAGCGUGGGUAGCAAAC